GUUGUGUGGAGUCGGUAUUUUAAUCAAGGUUGUGUGGAGUCGGUAUUUUAAUCAAGGUUGUGUGGAGUCGGUAUUUUAAUCAAGGUUGUGUGGAGUCGGUAUUUUAAUCAAGGUUGUGUGGAGUCGGUAUUUUAAUCAAGGUUGUGUGGAGUCGGUAUUUUAAUCAAGGUUGUGUGGAGUCGGUAUUUUAAUCAAGGUUGUGUGGAGUCGGUAUUUUAAUCAAGGUUGUGUGGAGUCGGUAUUUUAAUCAAGGUUGUGUGGAGUCGGUAUUUUAAUCAGGGUUGUGUGGAGUCGGUAUUUUAAUCAGGGUUGUGUGGAGUCGGUAUUUUAAUCAGGGUUGUGUGG